AACGAACGCUGGCGGCAGGCCUAACACAUGCAAGUCGAGCGCGCCCUUCGGGGUGAGCGGCGGACGGGUGAGUAACGCGUGGGAACGUACCCUUUGCUACGGAAUAGCCUCGGGAAACUGAGAGUAAUACCGUAUACGCCCUUUGGGGGAAAGAUUUAUCGGCAAAGGAUCGGCCCGCGUUGGAUUAGGUAGUUGGUGGGGUAAUGGCCCACCAAGCCGACGAUCCAUAGCUGGUUUGAGAGGAUGUUCAGCCACACUGGGACUGAGACACGGCCCAGACUCCUACGGGAGGCAGCAGUGGGGAAUCUUAGACAAUGGGGGCAACCCUGAUCUAGCCAUGCCGCGUGAGUGAUGAAGGCCUUAGGGUUGUAAAGCUCUUUCAGCUGGGAAGAUAAUGACGGUACCAGCAGAAGAAGCCCCGGCUAACUCCGU
rnacentral:rRNA from 1 species